ensembl:snRNA U2 U2 spliceosomal RNA
AUCGCUUCUCGGCCUUUUGGCUAAGAUCAAGUGUAUAUGCCUAUGUGUAGAUUUUUUUUGAUUAAGGCUAUUUGGAGUCCUUCAUGCCUCACUUAUCUGUAUGUCAAGCUCUUUUUCCCUGCUUGGGAAGUUUUCU